rnacentral:rRNA from 1 species
AACGCGAAGAACCUUACCAGGCCUUGACAUGCAGAGAACUUUCCAGAGAUGGAUUGGUGCCUUCGGGAACUCUGACACAGGUGCUGCAUAGCUGUCGUCAGCUCGUGUCGUGAGAUGUUGGGUUAAGUCCCGUAACGAGCGCAACCCUUGUCCUUAGUUACCAGCACGUUAAGGUGGGCACUCUAAGGAGACUGCCGGUGACAAACCGGAGGAAGGUGGGGAUGACGUCAAGUCAUCAUGGCCCUUACGGCCUGGGCUACACACGUGCUACAAUGGUCGGUACAAAGGGUUGCCAAGCCGCGAGGUGGAGCUAAUCCCAUAAAACCGAUCGUAGUCCGGAUCGCAGUCUGCAACUCACUGCGUGAAGUCGGAAUCGCUAG